rnacentral:rRNA from 1 species
GGGCGUAAGGGCUCGCAGGCGGUUUCCUUAAGUCUGAUGUGAAAGCCCCCGGCUCAACCGGGGAGGGUCAUUGGAAACUGGGAAACUUGAGUGCAGAAGAGGAGAGUGGAAUUCCACGUGUAGCGGUGAAAUGCGUAGAGAUGUGGAGGAACACCAGUGGCGAAGGCGACUCUCUGGUCUGUAACUGACGCUGAGGAGCGAAAGCGUGGGGAGCGAACAGGAUUAGAUACCCUGGUAGUCCACGCCGUAGACGAUGAGUGCUAAGUGUUAGGGGGUUUCCGCCCCUUAGUGCUGCAGCUAACGCAUUAAGCACUCCGCCUGGGGAGUACGGUCGCAAGACUGAAACUCAAAGGAAUUGACGGGGGCCCGCACAAGCGGUGGAGCAUGUGGUUUAAUUCGAAGCAACGCGAAGAACCUUACCAGGUCUUGACGUCCGCGGACGACCCUAGAGAUAGGGCUUUCCCUUCGGGGACAGAGUGACAGGUGGUGCAUGGUUGUCGUCAGCUCGUGUCGUGAGAUGUUGGGUUAAGUCCCGCAACGAGCGCAACCCUUGAUCUUAGUUGCCAGCAUUCAGUUGGGCACUCUAAGGUGACUGCCGGUGACAAACCGGAGGAAGGUGGGGAUGACGUCAAAUCAUCAUG